rnacentral:lncRNA from 1 species
UUUGUGAUGGUGAUGUGUUUUUAGAUCUUACUUUACUGAACAUUCUUGCUGCUUACAAUUAUUCUAUCUAUAAUCUAUGAUUGGCCCAGUAGUUUCAGUGGAAAAUGUUAGUAAAAAUUUACAAAUUUUAUGACAUUGUUAAAAAUUGACUAUAAAGGGCAAUAACUCCUUAGGGGGUCAAUUGACCAUUUUGGUCAUGUUGACUUAUUUUUAGAUCUUACUUUGCUGUAAAUCAUUGCUGUUUACAGUUUAUCUCUAUCUAUAAUAAUAUUCAAGAUAAUAACAAAACACGGCAAAAUUUCCUUAAAAU